CAGCCGCCGCGGUAAAACCAGCACCUCAAGUGGUCAGGAUGAUUAUUGGGCCUAAAGCAUCCGUAGCCCGUUUUGUAAGUUUUCGGUUAAAUCCAUGCGCUUAACGUAUGGGCUGCCGGGAAUACUGCAUAACUAGGAAGUGGGAGAGGUAGGCGGUACUCGGUAGGAAGGGGUAAAAUCCUUUGAUCUAUUGAUGACCACCUGUGGCGAAGGCGGUCUACCAGAACACGUUCGACGGUGAGGGAUGAAAGCUGGGGGAGCAAACCGGAUUAGAUACCCGGGUAGUCCCAGCUGUAAACUAUGCAAACUCAGUGAUGCAUUGGCUUAUGGCCAAUGCAGUGCUGCAGGGAAGCCGUUAAGUUUGCCGCCUGGGAAGUACGUACGCAAGUAUGAAACUUAAAGGAAUUGGCGGGGGAGCACCA
rnacentral:rRNA from 1 species